GUAGUUAAUUCUUAUUACCUACAAGGGAAGAAAGUGUUUAUAUCUUUCUACAUCGGAACUGGAAACAACAAACCUAUCUUACCUAAGCCACUGAUAUUUGUGUUUUCAUUAUACACAACCAAGCUUAAUUCUUGGUUCAUGAUAUAGAAAAGUCAAUCACAACUAGUACUGAAGGUGUCCAGACAGCAGGGGCUUUCAAGGACACAGACACCAUCUCCCUGGAAUUGUCCCACAUGUCUGCAAGCAGGUGCUGGCCAGCACAAGGCUCAAAAAUUGAAUUUGAAAUUAUUUGUACUGAGUCCAAGGUCUCUAGUGUGUUGGCAAUACCCUACCCCUCCUAUUAUUAUUUAUCCACUUACUUCCUAUAUUUUUCUUCUGGCCCUUAUUGGCAUUUGAGUUUGAGGGCCCUGAUACUCAAUGAACACUGAGAAAUGCCAAGAAUUUCCCCUGGCAAUCAUGCCUACUCUGCACUAAAAUACAUACGUGAGGGUAUUUUCUCUGCUUUCCAUGCAGAUAUUUUGCACCUCAAGGCAAAGUUCCCAUUUUCUUGCAACUCAGUUUCUACAAAUACAUCAGUUCCUAUUAAAAUCAGAUGAUACCAUUCAGUAACCAGAGCUACUCUGUCUACCUAACCCAGCAGGUAAACCCAUAGCUGACCUUUAGAGUUGGAAGAGUGCUCAGAACAGCAUGAAGUGUCUCACAGAUCUAGGCUCUAACUUCAUUCUCUUCCUCAAAGUCAUGAAUGUUGUCUAGCUCAUGGGCACCUCUCCUGCCCCUGGCACCACAAGAGAAACCUUGAGGCCUCGUCUGCCUGCAACAAUGUCUUCCAUGAAGACUCAAAUGUCUUCUGCUCUCCACUAGCAGGAGGGGCCACCGAGGCCACUGGGGAGGGUGGUAGCCUUUAGCAUCUUUGUGCAGAGCCAGUCUCAGGGGACGGAGCCUCAGGACUGCACAGAGGGAGUAUGUGAGCUGUUCAGGAGGGCCUGAAGAACACAAAGAAAAGAACAGCUAUGCCUGCAGAGGUCAGUCCCCAAUCCUAACUCCACCUCACCCCAUCAAAACCCAAACAACAGCUCAUCAGGAAACACAACCUGCCCUCACGCUGAUGCGAAAAUGGGGUUUUUAUGCACAUUAGAGACCACCAAGCAUAAACCAAAUUAAGCCAUCCAUCUCUUCUUUGCUUGUGUCACAGAAGGAGAGGGUAGUCUGCAGAGGAAGAACAUAUGAAAUAGCACAAUUUCUUCGCUUUCUUAAAUUUUUUAUUUUGAAACUAUCAUAGAUUCACAUGCAACUGUAGGAAAUAAUACAGAAAGCUCAUAUGUCCUUCACCCAGCUCCCCCUGGUAACAGUUUACAAAACAACAGCACAAUAUCCUCAGCAGGAGAGGGGUGUGGAGGUCUCUGGGUAGUAUCCGGCCUCAGCCACAAAGUCGCCUUAACACAAUCCAUCCACUUUAUUUACACUUCACCGCUUUUACAUUCACUGAGGGGUGUGUGUGUGUGUGUGGUUCUCUGCAAUUUUAUCACAUGUGUAGAUUUGUGCACUCUCCCCCAGUCAAGAGACACAACAGUCCUAUCACAGGAUGCCUCAUGUUAUCUAACAGUCAUGGCCACCUCACUCCCUAUCCAUAUCCAUAAUCUCUAGCAACUACUAAUCUAUUCUCCAUCACAGCCAGAAUGGUGUCAGACAAGGCUGACAGGGAGCCCAGGAUUUUCAUCCACACCUAGUAAUGAGAAGCAUGCCCUAUCACUUGCAGUGCCAGAGGAAGCCACGUGGAGAUUCUUCCAAAAGAGCAACCACCAUACAUCUGAUUCAAAUACACUUACAAGCACUAUAAGCCAAAAUGGAAUUAUAAAAUAUAUUCAAGCAACUCACAGGAAGGCAGGAAAAAGAAAACAGGGAAAAAAACAAAACAGAGAACAAAAAGAAAGUCAAAGAGAAAAUGGCAGGCUUAGCCCUAACAUAUAAAUACUGACAAUAAAUGUAAAUAGUCUAAAUACACCUACUAAAAGACCGAGAUUGGUAGAAUGGAUUAGAAAACAUAACUCAGUAAUAUGCCAUCUGCAUGAAAUUCACUUCAUAUAACAGAAGAGGUAGGCUAAGCAUAAAAGAAUGGAAAAAGAUAUGCCAUGUAAACAGCAGUCAAAAGAAGAAUGGCUACAUUUAUAUCAAAUAAAGUAGAUUUCAGAGCAAAGAAAAUUUCUCAAGAGAUAUAUACAACAUUUAGAUAUUAUCUAAGUGUUCCUAAAAUAUCCCGAGCAAUUCCAGGUUCUUUCUCAAAGCCAACUCCAUGAUAAUGCUACUUGGGUAUUUCCUCUAACUGCCCAACUGAAAUUUUGUAAUGGUGAUGUAAGGGAUUAAGCUUACUUGCUCUUCUCCCCUAAAUGGAAGUAUGUGAGCACCCAGUGCACAGAAGCAGCUCUUUGAGGAAAAAGGGCUGGCAGCAGAUUUGUCUCACCAAGAACUCCAGCCAGACUCCAGCUAAGUGAAGAAGCAAGACACGGGGUGAAAGGGAGUGCCCCUCUAGGCUCCCCCCAGCCCCCCAGGGGUCAUACAUUGAGAGAUGUUGGUCUCAGGUGCACCAAGAUAGGGGGCAGAGGGAAGUGGGGAGGGUUUAGUUAAGACUUGAGAAUAAACAGAGGUUUCCCCAAAUCUGUCACAAGCUCCUCCAUCAGCUCUGGUCAUACUGGGGCAGCCUGUUGGGAGUGCCCGGCACAGGGAGAGACCAGACUGUUCUCAAAAAAAAAAAAAAAAAAAAAAAANGUUCAAUCCCUGGCCUCACCCAGUGGGUUAAGGAUCCGGUGUUGCCAUGCACUGUGGUGUAGGUUGUGGACAAGGCUUGGAUCCCACAUUGCUACGGCUAUGGUGUAGGCCGGCAGCUACAGCUCCGAUUGGACCCCUAGCAUGGGAACCUCCAUAUGCCACGGGUAUGGCUCUAAAAAGCAAAAACAAACAAACAAACAAACAAAAAAAAAAACCCCAAGUCUCCAAGUCUUGCCAAAGCACCUGGCUUAUCCCACCUAUGUGCUGUAAGGAAUGAAUUUACAGUAUUGUAGUGGGUUCCUAGCCACAUUCCAGAGUGAGAUGUUACUCAGCUUUAAGGCAAAGGAAUAAAUUUUACCCUCCUGGUCUGAGCUGUGGCUUCUACCUUUGUUCUGCAUCUUUAUUCAAAGUCAUUAAGACAUCUGUCCCUGCUGGGAAUGGUACAUCCAUGCACUGCUAUGUGGUUCACAAAGGUAUCUUCAUGGUUAUUAUAGUCCUGUACCCUCAGAAUCACAGGCAUUACCAAACCCAUACAGAGCUACUCAGACUAGUCAGGACGGCUUGUCUCUAGGACCCCCUACCCCUUUUCACUCUUGGAAAAAUGGCAAGUCCCAAGGGCUCUGUUUCCAUUCACCCUCUGAUGCACCUAUGGGAGGGCGUGGUUUUUUCCUCUGUUGCUGAUGGUGUAACCCUAACAAAGGCUUCCUCUAUUUCCAGUAAUCAAAUACGACCUGGCCGGCCAAGAACAUGGUGGGGAUGUGCUCACAACCCCUGACAGUACGUCUCAGGAAAGUUGGCUGCCUUCUCAACAUGCGGCAGGAGCAAUAACCUCUAUCUAACACGAAUGCUGGCAUCCAUUCCACAAGCAACUGUUAAGAGUCCCUACUGUGCUCUCCAAUCAGCCAGGCAAGAGUCAUCCUCCUGACCUCUGGAUUCACAGCAGCGAACCCCCAGGGGGAAGAACGCCCAACAUCCUACUGCCCACACCCACACCCACACCCACAGGGAAAGCCAGGUGCAUUCACAGCUCACACCCUAUCAAUGAUCAGGGAGUGGGGGAACCCACAGACACCUUCCCAGGAUCAACAGCCACAGACAGUCCAGCUGCUUUAAGAAAGAAGGGAACAGAGAGGUUGGUACCAUCACCACCACCACCAUUGCCACCACACAGAGAAAGAAGCGCAUUUCCAACCCAGGAGGAGUGAAGAUGGAAGUGACAGCUUAAGUGACAGACCAAGAUAGUGUCUUCCCCCUUCAAGUUAGGAGAGCAGACAUCAGGGAGGGAGGGUACAGUUCACCAGAAUGAUCAUAAAAAGCCAUCACUGCCCUGCUUAACACCUAAGUCACUGAGAGGUAAUGUUUUAAAGGAAAAGCAUGAAAGCAUCUUUGACUUAGGCCUGCAUAGACACAGCCUGAUGAAGAAAAAGAAGAAAACAGUUCUUGUCAAGCCCCUCAUCACCCCACCACCCUGGAAUCCCCUGCUAGUGGUUCUUGGAUCUAAAUCCGAAGAGCACAGAGACCCUGGCCAGGCCCAGGGUGUGUGCUCUCUACACGGCACCCUUAAUUUUUUUUAAUUUGUUGCCAUUGUUUAAAAUUUGGAAGAUUUCACAUAAAGAAAUCUGGAUUUCUGGCUUCCUUUGAAAUAUCACAAGACAUAGACCCCCUAUGAAUCCACUGCCUAAGCCAACAUGUGGAACUGGGGUGGGUGACAGCCGCUCCCCUUGGAGCCCUCUCGCCUCCAGGUCUGCGCUGGCUUCACCGUGGUGGUGCUGACUAGUCCCAGAAGACACCUAUUAUGGAGUCGAGGCAAGUGACAAUGCCAAAUAGAGACUUGAUAAAGAAGCUCCUGCUCCCCUCUCCCUUCACCACCUCCACCCCCCAAAAAAUUGCCCUCCAAGAGUCUUAUCUCAUUGGAGAAGACUUAUCUGGUACAAAAUCUGAGGAAUGUGGAAGGAGGAACUCAGCCAACAAGCUGAAAGGCAGCCCUGGUUUCAGUGAUAACCCUCAGUGUGCUAGAACUAGAGAUGGAGACCACAGAGCCAACCUGAGUUGGAACAGCAUCUAGGAGGGAGAAGGGAAGAUGCUGCCCCUCCUCCACCCUGUCUUCCUCAGCUCUGGACCCCACAGGGCACUUCCCAUGAGACAUCUAUCAGAGGGAACCAAGGCAGAACAUGUGGCUUACUCCACACUAAAGCUUGGCAACCAGGUCAGCACUGGAAAGAAUUCUUCGCAAGGGACCUGGCCUCUGCCUUGUAGUGCGUGUGUGUGGUCUUGAGCUAGACCCUGGUGCUUUCAGGGCUACUGUUUUCUCAUUUAUCAACAAAGGGCUUAGGACUUCCCUGGGAGUUCCCACUGUGGCACAGCAGAAAUGAACCCGACUAGUAUACAGAAGGAUGUGGGUUCCAUCCCUGGCCUUGCUCAGUGGGUCAAAGGAUCCAGCAUUGCUGUGAGCUGCAGUGUAGACUGCAGAUGUGGCUCGGAUCCCAAGUUGCUAUAGCUGUGGUGUAGGCUGGCAGAUGUAGCUCCGAUUCAAUCCCUAGCCUGGGAACUUCCAUAUAUUGCAGGCACAGCCCUAAAAAGCAAAAAAAAAA
rnacentral:lncRNA from 1 species